CUACGGGCGGCUCCAGUGGGGAAUAUUGCACAAUGGGCGCAAGCCUGAUGCAGCCAUGCCGCGUGUAUGAAGAAGGCCUUCGGGUUGUAAAGUACUUUCAGCGGGGAGGAAGGGAGUAAAGUUAAUACCUUUGCUCAUUGACGUUACCCGCAGAAGAAGCACCGGCUAACUCCGUGCCAGCAGCCACGGUAAUACGGAGGGUGCAAGCGUUAAUCGGAAUUACUGGGCGUAAAGCGCACGCAGGCGGUUUGUUAAGUCAGAUGUGAAAUCCCCGGGCUCAACCUGGGAACUGCAUCUGAUACUGGCAAGCUUGAGUCUCGUAGAGGGGGGUAGAAUUCCAGGUGUAGCGGUGAAAUGCGUAGAGAUCUGGGGGAAUACCGGUGGCGAAGGCGGCCCCCUGGACGAAGACUGACGCUCAGGUGCGAAAGCGUGGGGAGCAAACAGGAUUAGAUACCCUAGUAGUC
rnacentral:rRNA from 1 species